UAGGCAGCAAACCCUCCUGUACGGGCUAAUGUUUUGUAUCUGAGCACCGAAUACUCAGUGCGCAUCUCGGAGGCUGUGAAACAUAUUUUUAAUCCGUACUUUGAUAAAGCAAGCUGGUUUCAGAACUCCAGCAUGUACCAUUUUAGCAUGUUUCAUGCUUCACAUCAUAUUACACCUGUUCCUGCUACUGAAGAUGAGAUAGAAGUGGAAGCAAGUGCUGUUCAUGCUGUUGCAGAUGAUCUCUGUCCUUUAAAAAUUGUUUUAGACAGGGUGGUUUUAACCUCAACUGGUGUGCUUCUGGGUUGCUGGCAGGUUACUUUCUGAA